GUUGAAUAAAUCUCAUAGGAGUUAGGAUGAAGAACCUAUCCCACUUUCAAAUCAGGUGAUCCCAGUUUUCCUGUUUGGGAAUAUGACAACUUCUUCGUCACUCUUAUCAAACAAGGAUGAACCGCGAUAUAAGAAGCUUGAUAUGGAUAGAUAAAGUAGUGGAGAAUCACCAGGAAGUUGAACAAAUCUCAUAGGAGUUAGGAUGAAGAAGCUAUCCCACUAUCAAAUCAGGUGAUCCCAGUUUUUCGGUUUGGGAAUAUGAUAACUUCUUCGUCAUUCUUAUCAAAACAGGAUGAACCGCGAUGUAAGAAGCUUGGUUUGGAUACAUAAAGUACUGGAGAAUCACCAGGAAGUCGGGAUGUAAGAAGCUUGAUUUGGAUACAUAAAGUUCUGGAGAAUGACCAGGAAGUUGAAUAAUUCUCAUAGGCGUUCGGAUGAAGAACCUAUCCCACUUUCAAAUCAGGUGAUCCUAGUUUUCCUGUUUGGGAAUAUGACAACUUCUUCGUCAUUUUAAUCAAACCAGCAUUAACCGGGAUGUAAGAAGCUUAAUUUGGAUAGAUAAAGUACUAGAGAAUCUGCAAGACGUUGAAUAAAUCUCAUAGGAGUUAGGAUGAAGAACCUAUCCCACUUUCAAAUCAGGUGAUCCCAGUUUUCCUGUUUGGGAAUAUGACAACUUCUUCGUCACUCUUAUCAAACAAGGAUGAACCGCGAUGUAAGAAGCUUGAUAUGGAUAGAUAAAGUAGUGGAGAAUCACCAGGAAGUUGAACAAAUCUCAUAGGAGUUAGGAUGAAGAAGCUAUCCCACUAUCAAAUCAGGUGAUCCCAGUUUUUUGGUUUGGGAAUAUGAUAACUUCUUCGUCAUUCUAAUCAAACCAGCAUGAACCGGGAUGUAAGAAGCUUGAUUUGGAUACAUAAAGUUCUGGAGAAUGACCAGGAAGUUGAAUAAUUCUCAUAGGCGUUCGGAUGAAGAACCUAUCCCACUUUCAAAUCAGGUGAUCCUAGUUUUCCUGUUUGGGAAUAUGACAACUUCUUCGUCAUUUUAAUCAAACCAGCAUUAACCGGGAUGUAAGAAGCUUAAUUUGGAUAGAUAAAGUACUAGAGAAUCUGCAAGACGUUGAAUAAAUCUCAUAUGAGUUAAGAUGAAGAAGCUACCCCACUUUCAAAUCAGGUGAUCCCAGUUUUUUUUGUUUGGGAAUAU
rnacentral:lncRNA from 1 species